UUUAUUUAUUUAUUUAUUAAUUUAUUUUGUGGAGCUGUAAGAGACAAAGUUUUUGCUUGCUCACAUGUCAGAGCUCGUCCAGUGACCAAAUGGUGCACAGAAAACCAUGGGUGAUAGUGCACCUCAUUCAUCUCUGGCAGUGUAAUACGGGGUUUUUUCGUGUCUUCCAAACUUGUGAAGGAGGUAGGUGAGGAGUACCCUGAAUUCUUUCAUGCACUGUUAGCCAGGGGUAGCACAGAGACUCUUCAUGGUAAUCUCACCUAAAUCAGUUCAGAAGAGGGGGGAAAAAAAGCCAUUCUGGUUGUUUUCUAGCUUGCUGCGAGUUCUUACAAGCACACAAAAAUACUCCUUCAACUGUAGAGAAGGAGUUAUUGCAUGAGCCAAGCUAGCAGCAUGCUGCUCUUUGCUUUAUCUUGCUUCCAAGUGCAUGCAUGGUUAUGGAUUCUCCAUGAAGAUGUGUAAGCCCAGCUGCUGUCCCUUUCAUUUCUGUUUGUUCUGCUUUGUGCAACAGGAAAACAGCUGAAAUCCUGUUUGCAAACAGAUCUGCCGCCGCCUUUGCCUGUGCUGGCCCCAGCAUCAGGAGCAUGAGGGGAAAGUGGAGCUGACUGCGGUCAGAAGCAGCGCAGGCUGCCAGUGUGGCUCUCUGGCCAAAGCAGUUCUGUUUGCAGGGCUGUGUGUACAAGCGCAUGCACUGCUGUGCCCCAGCAGUGGGAAGAAGGGGGAUGGGGGCCAGGCCCUCUGCGUUUGGGAGGAUGUCAGGCUUACCAGAUAACUGCAGUUGUUUUUUCAUCUGCUUCUAUUUUCCCAGAAGCCUGAGUCAUUCUCUGGCUUCGUGGGACAGCCAGAACAUGCUGACAAACUGAGUGCUUUGUGAAGUUUUGGGAUGUGAAUUUUGGCACGGUGAAUUCUAGCCUGCCUUAAGACAUAGUUCUGUUCACAGCACCUCUUUAAGCACUGCAGGGGCCUUAGUCUUGAAAGCUGAGGUGCCGCUGGAUUCAGGGCUUGGGAUUGGGCUGGAGCUGAGACGGGAUCAUAAAGAGAUUUUGUGUCUCACUUUGGAGAUUUUGUGUGUCAUUAUUUUCUUAACAAUGCUGAUAAAUGUUUUCAGUGCACCUGAGAACACUGGGUAGCAAGAGACAGAGGAACUUGGCAGUGAGCAAACCUGGGACAACCUGAGACGGCUGUGACCGUGUGCUGCCCAGGGGAGCUGAGGCUCACGAUCCCUCUGUUUCUGAAAGCAAAAGAAGAGCAAUGUGAACAAGUUUCCAAGAGAUUGCCCUCGCUGCAGCAUGCAGUGUGUUUAGAUGCCUCCAGAGGGUUUCUUCAGGCUCUGUGUAAGCACUCGUGGCUUCAUUUCUAAUAUUUCCAGGGAAAAAAAAUCAAGUGCUAAGGUAGUUUCACGUGUGUGGGACUACACUUCCGUGAGGGAAGUAAUUACUGCAGCCAACGGCCUGGACACAAGUUAUGGUUCCUGGUGCACUUGACUUGAUAAUAGAAAAGCUAAGUAUGGGAAAGCUAUUACCUAUUUUUGUGAGCAAUAGAAGGACCAGCAGCCCCUAGAGACAGGUGUGAGGGAAAUUUGUAGGUCUUCCAGGAGCACUAGAGGUUGUAUGCAUUAACGUUAGGAAAUUAGUUUAAAAGUGGUUUAACUAAUUCAGUCUCUAUCUAUGUUAAGACCUGGGAACAUGUUUAGAUGUGCUCCUGGCAAAUAUAGCUGGUAGAAUUUAAGAUUUUACUACUGUGUUUCUUGAGCAGGGACAGUUGGAAUAAUUGUGGAGUGGGGCAUUCAUGCUGAUCUCAGCUGUUUCUAUGCAAAAUUCAGUGUCUGGACAUAAACAUGUCUUCCAAAGGAGUUUUGGAUAAGCUGUGAAGUCUUUGAGGCGUGGGUUUGUGUAACCUCUGGCAAUGAGUGGUAACAGCUUUAACUGUCACAACUGUUUCUCAUGCAAGCAUAGGUUUUUUUUGCUGGGAAUUUGAGCAAAUGAAGGGUUGAAAUGUAUGCAAUAUUAUCUCUCCCAUCCCUAUUUCAUGUUGGAAUGAAUGGUGAAACUGCAUGUUGUUUUUGUUUAUUUCUCAUCUCCUCUCUGAAGCUGUUCUGGAGGUGUUCUUUCCGCUUCAAGGGAUUUCUCUCAGUGACAGCAAUGCCGCUUUUGCCAUUCAGAUCUGUGUAAAGCUGCUUGUCUUUGCUUAGUUUCUGUCGCAAACAACACUUGAAUGAAAGAAGAGUAGGAGGAGCAGAAAGUUUUUGCAUGCAAAAAAAAAUGAUUAUAUCACCACUGUUACUUACCAGCUUUAUUUACAUGUUUACUAUGUUGGAUGUUGAGAAGAAAGCUGAGGAUCUUUACUCCCCCAGCAGCACCAAGUAGCUGUUAAGCAAGCUUACGCAGUUGCAGAGCCUUUGUUAAGCCAAUGCAGCCUGAACUGGUGAAUGCCACAGGCCUGGCCGUACCACUCAGUAUCAGAAGAUCAACUAGUAAUGGUGUCUUUGUAUCAGCUCUGUCUGGUAUGAAAGAACAGUCCUAGGAUUUUGGUCUAUGCAGUGCAGCAUAAGUCAUGAUCAGUGUUGCCUAAAAAUCCUGUCUGAUGUAUAUGAUGUAUGCCUGAUGUGUAACAGGAGUUGUGGUUUCAAGCACUCAAACAAACAAGCAAAAUCUUCAACAUGCCUUUCUUUUGGAAGCUGGCAAAGUCAGUAAGGUUGCAAAAGUGUGCAUGUGCUUCUCAAGCAAGUAUGGCAUCUGUGUGCUCUGUAAUGAAGGACUUUUUUUCUGUUUGAGUGUAAGAAAGCAAUUCAUCCCAGGGUCACUUACAAAGGGUAGACCUAAAUACGAACCAAAACAUUUGAAGGAAGUGAGCCCCUUGACCAAAAAAAGGUUCUGAUGUCUGUCAACUAUUUGGAUCAGCAUGUUAUCUGCCCAUGAUAAAAAUGAGUUUGAUAACCCAGUGACAUAUUUAAGGCUGAACAUCUCUCAGCACAAAAGUCAGUAUGGCAUAAUUUGUUUUGCAGCCCAAAAGAUGAUGGCAUAUGCCAAAAUACUCUCUCCGUUCCUGCUUUGCUACAGACCAAUUGUUUUAUUUUUUUUCAACUUUGGGAGCCAUCUUCUAAGCUGAUGACAAAGACCCAAAUUCACCCCUUUGGUGCAUUUAUUAUGUUCUGCAAAAAAAAAAAACCAAACAACUGCAAAGGUAAAGGAAUAGCUUAGUAUCCUCAAAUAAGUGGAAAAAGUCUUGAAUCCAAAAUGUUGAUGUUGGAGAUGAUACUAAAACACAAAGAUAUGUCUUUGCUCAAAGAUACAAUACCUGUGUCAACCUAGAUCCUCUGUGGUUUGAUUUUCAGGGCAAGUUAUCUUUUGCAUUUUGAUCGGAAAUGGUGUUCUCAAAUACAAUCAGCAGCAGGCCAAUGAGUAGCUUCAGUACAAUGAUUUCAAAGAAUUUGUAUAGUCAGUACUUCCAAGUACGCCUUUAUUUAAAAAGGAGUUGUAUGGGUUAGGUAAGGAAAAGGGUUUAACGGUGUCUCCAUAAAGCCAGUACAUUUAAGAUCUAGUUACUCAAUAUGAAGUUGUUCUAAUAAAGUUUUCCAGAGGGUGGCAGUUCAAUGUAGUUCUGCCUCUGAGUACAGCUUGAGCCCCAGAUACAGAACAAAUGCAUAUUUCAGUGGCUGAAGGUAGGUUCCUGGCAGAUGUUUUGAAUAAAGCACCAGAAAAAGUGUUAUCUUGUGAUGUACUGCAGAUGUCAUUGUAGAUGAUGCUUAUCUCUGCCAAAGCACCUGAAGAACUUCAGGAGGUCAAGCACCAGGCUGGUAUCCAUUGAGGGAGCAGUGCCACCUACACAGGCACCCCAGAUUCUUGUCCCAUAAGAUCCAACAUUCUUUCAGAUAAACGCUUAGAGUCAGACUCAAGAGUUUUCACAAACACCACAGCGUUAUGUUCGUGAUCUUACUCCUUUUCAAAGCUCAUUCUCAUACAAACACUGUGUGCUGAGUGACAUUGAAAGUCUUUUGGCUGUGUGGUAUCCUUAAAGCUGUUUCUCCAGAGGGAACCAUACUAUAUACCACGUAUCUGUAUAUGCAUAUUAUGCAAACACAUUGGUACAACAUGUAUUCAAAAACUGAAGGGAAAUGCUCAAUAAAUGGCAGUUAUGUUUGAACAGAGCUAUAGUGAGCUGUAUUUACUGACCUUAGUCCACCAAAUGGUACAGCAGAUUACUUUACAGGAAUUUAAAUGACCUGGAUGAAGGACUCAAAUGUAUGCUAGGUAAGUUUGCAGAUGACGCUAAAUUGAGGUGCUGAUUGUCUCAAAGGUGGAGAGGCCUUGAAGAGAGAUCUUCACAAACUGAAGGGCUGGACAAUCACCAGCCACGUGAAGUUUAGUUUAACAAGAGCAAGUGCCGGAUUUUCCACCUGAGACAAGGCAACACUGGUUAUAUGCACAGGCUGUGGCCCAAGAGUCUGGAGACCUGCCCCACGGAAAGAGAUCUGGGGGUUCUGGUUGAUGAUGAGUUGAACGUGAGUGAGCAGUGUGUCCUGGCAGCCAAAAGGGUCAACUGUCCUUUAGGAAUAGCAUUGAGCUGUGUCAGGGGAGGGUCAGGCUGGGUGUUAGGAAAUGGUUCUGCACUAGAAGGCAGCAGGCAUGGCGCAGGCUCCCAGGGCAGUGGGCGCAGCCCCAAGCUACUGGAGUUCAAGGACCAUUUGGACAGCGCUCUCAGACAUAGAGUUUGAAUUUGGGGUGUUGCUGGGUGGAGUCAGAGGUUGGACUCAGUGGUCCUUGUGGAUCCCUUCCAAAUCAUGAUGUUCUGUCAUUCUGUGAACUGAGACUAUACCUUACAGUAAUAAGUACUUUAUGAGUCUCUGUUGAAGGUAAUAUAUCAUUGCUAGGUCUGUA
rnacentral:lncRNA from 1 species